rnacentral:lncRNA from 1 species
UUGAAAAUACUGAUUUUAAAUUUCUCCUGUCUAAUUGUGAGGAAAAGUGUCUGACACAGAAGCUUGAGUUUUGUUCUCCUAACACUGAUAUAUUCCUUGAGCCUUGAAUUCAAAUAAAACAACUUGAUAUACCUUAGAGCCUCAUUCAGCUAUAUCUGGCAUAACCCACUCUUUUUCAAAUUAAGUAAGGAAAGGUGUUUAAGCUUGAAAAAUCAUGGUGUAUUGAUUAUUGGACAACCUUGAAAACAGUAUAAACUUUGCAUUUUAAUCAAGUAAUCCAGUUUUCGUUUUUUUAAAUGCCAUCACCUUUUGAAGAACUUUAAAAACAUCUAUGACCCCAUGUAAGGACACUGGUGCUCCCAUGUAUAUGCCACUGCUCUUUAAUAAAUGCUGUGGAAGCAUGUGGUAUGACAGUAAGGGGAAAGGGGAAUAUUAGAGUUUCUAGAUGGGAAAAUAAAGAGAAAUAGCAAAACCCAUUUACAUUUAGGAAACCAAACGAGGUUCAACCCCAUAUGCCUCUUGGGGAUAUAAAACAUAAACAACU